rnacentral:rRNA from 1 species
UGGGGAAUAUUGCACAAUGGGCGCAAGCCUGAUGCAGCCAUGCCGCGUGUGUGAAGAAGGCCUUCGGGUUGUAAAGCACUUUCAGCGGGGAGGAAGGCGGUGAGGUUAAUAACCUCACCGAUUGACGUUACCCGCAGAAGAAGCACCGGCUAACUCCGUGCCAGCAGCCGCGGUAAUACGGAGGGUGCAAGCGUUAAUCGGAAUUACUGGGCGUAAAGCGCACGCAGGCGGUCUGUCAAGUCGGAUGUGAAAUCCCCGGGCUCAACCUGGGAACUGCAUUCGAAACUGGCAGGCUAGAGUCUUGUAGAGGGGGGUAGAAUUCCAGGUGUAGCGGUGAAAUGCGUAGAGAUCCGGAGGAAUACCGGUGGCGAAGGCGGCCCCCUGGACAAAGACUGACGCUCAGGUGCGAAAGCGUGGGGAGCAAACAGG